AUUGAACGCUGGCGGCAGGCCUAACACAUGCAAGUCGAACGGUAACAGGAAGCAGCUUGCUGCUUUGCUGACGAGUGGCGGACGGGUGAGUAAUGUCUGGGAAACUGCCCGAUGGAGGGGGAUAACUACUGGAAACGGUAGCUAAUACCGCAUAACGUCGCAAGACCAAAGAGGGGGACCUUAGGGCCUCUUGCCAUCGGAUGUGCCCAGAUGGGAUUAGCUAGUAGGUGGGGUAACGGCUCACCUAGGCGACGAUCCCUAGCUGGUCUGAGAGGAUGACCAGCCACGCUGGAACUGAGACACGGUCCAGACUCCUACGGGAGGCAGCAGUGGGGAAUAUUGCACAAUGGGCGCAAGCCUGAUGCAGCCAUGCCGCGUGUAUGAAGAAGGCCUUCGGGUUGUAAAGUACUUUCAGCGGGGAGGAAGGGAGUAAAGUUAAUACCUUUGCUCAUUGACGUUACCCGCAGAAGAAGCACCGGCUAACUCCGUG
rnacentral:rRNA from 1 species